rnacentral:tmRNA from 1 species
GGGGAUGACCGGUUUUGACAGCAGGCAGAGUCUAUUUGUAAGCACGCCGAGCGUUGUGUGGAGGUGCUCGUAAAAGUGAACACUCAAAAUUCAAAUGGCGAAUCAAGCUAUGCACUCGCUGCGUAAUUUUACGAUUGAAAUUACCUUAAUCGUUGCGCCCAAGGCGGCGUGACGACGAGUACCCCGCCUUUCGGCUCCGUCCGGUAGAACGAAAGGCUUGCGGGGUAUCAGACAAACCGGAAUAGUGCGGCGCGAUUUCCGUAGCGUCGUGCGAAAUCAACGGAAUGCUGCUCGCGGUUUAGGAGGCUUCCUGACUGCCGCGGGAGUAAGAAUGAGGUGGAAGAUAAGCGUGUAGAAAGCAUUUGGGUUCCUUGUUUGGACGAGGGUUCGACUCCCUCCAUCUCCAC